rnacentral:pre_miRNA from 3 species
UCUUAUGCAUGAGCCAAGAAAGUGGGUUUUUGAGAUGGAAUCUAUUCCUGGUGAAGAUGCUGUGAA